UGUUUGUCAUCUGGGGACUUUUACAUUAAAUCUGCAGGAAAACCCCCCUUGCUUUGUUGUUUUGGCUGAAUAGGAUAAAACAGAAUUUAUUCCUUACUGGUCUUAAGUUUAAAAAGGCUAGCACAGCUAUGCCUGUCAAUCUAAGAGCUUGUUGGUGGAAAAGGGUUUUCAGGAGAGCAAUCUGGUGUGCCUGGGUAACAUAGCAAUAAGAAAAGCAAACAACUGGUUCACUUUCUGUCCCAGACAUUUGGAGAGAAAUUAUCUCGAUACAUCAGAGCCUGCCUAGAACCCACCCAGACGUCACUGGUA
rnacentral:lncRNA from 1 species